AGCGAACGCUGGCGGCAGGCCUAACACAUGCAAGUCGAGCGGGCACCCUUCGGGGUGUCAGCGGCGGACGGGUGAGUAACGCGUGGGAACGUGCCCUCUGGUUCGGAAUAACUUAGGGAAACUUGAGCUAAUACCGGAUACGCCCUAUUGCGGAUAGGCUUGCUGGCGGAGGGCCGGCCAGCGUCUGACUUGCUAGUUGGUGAGGUAACGGCUCACCAAGGGGACGAUCAGUAGCUGGUCUGAGAGGAUGAGCAGCCACACUGGGACGGAGACACGGCCCAGACUCCUACGGGAGGCAGCAGUGGGGAAUAUUGGACAAUGGGCGCAAGCAUGAUCCAGCCAUGCCGCGUGAGUGAUGAAGGCCUUAGGGUUGUAAAGCUCUUUUAUCCGGGACGAUAAUGACGGUACCGGAAGAAUAAGCCCCGGCUAACUUCGUG
rnacentral:rRNA from 1 species